AAGGCCCUACCGAUUCGAAGCCUUAGGUUCCACCUGGGAGGUUAGUAGAUGAGGCGGGGCCUA
rnacentral:sRNA from 1 species